rnacentral:misc_RNA from 1 species
AACUUUCAACAAUGGAUCACUUGGCUCUCGCAUCGAUGAAGAACGCAGCGAAACGCGAAAUGUAAUGUGAAUUGCAGAACUCCAUGUGAAUCAUCGAAUCUUUGAACGCAUCUUGCGCCCCGUGGCAUUCCGCGGGGCAUGUCUGUUUGAGUGUCGUUUUACCUCUCAAUCGCGCACCGUAGUGCGCGACUUGGAGCUUGGGUGCCUGUAGCGUGUGCUACCCACCCGGAAGUCAGUAAGCUAAGCGUGAAUCUAUGCGGCUAGACCGAACGUUGUAAGGUUCGCCUCGUUCGGGACGCGGGAUUACCAUUUGUGCUAGAAUGAUAUUGAAAUCGACUUUUUGACCUCAAAUCAGGCAGGACUACCCGCUGAAUUUAAGCAUAUCAAUAAGCGGAGGCU